ACCACACAUAGGAACCCCAUAAUUCCAAAAUGGGAUUCAAGUCCCAUUCCUUAACAUUUAGAAUCGUUACAAAGCCAUCCUUCGCCGUCCGUCUGCUGCAGUACUCUCUGAAGAUUGCAAUGGCCAAUCGGGGCUUGUCUUCUUUCUCUGCAUUUCGUUUUCAAUCUGAUACGUUUAUGGAUUGUAUCAGGUGUUUAAUUCGCCUGGCGCGAUUUGAACUCCAUUGUCUAAUUCCAGGGCUUCUCCUAUGGCCUGUUUACGCCCGUCCGGCAUUCUAACUCGGGCAAGGGGUGUUCCUAAAGUUUGCUUUGUAGAUCUGGAGAAUAAUCCACCUGGAGUCAUGAACAAUAUUACAAUAGCAAAACUGGAAAGGAGCGGCAUACUGUUAAAUCCCUUAUUAAUAAGGGAAAAACAGCUCUAGAAGCAAGGAUGCAGUUUCAUUGGUUAGUAAGAAAGGUUGUUCCAAAUCAAUAGUUAAACCAUCUACAGCUCAAUAUCAGGAUACAGAAAGAGGAAUCAUCAUACGAGGUCUUUGUACGUUAGAAUUGAAGAAUCCAAGGAUAGUAUUCCUCAGCCAGAGCUGUACUGUAAAAUUGGAGUCCCAUUUGUAAUGGGAACUACAGGUGGAGAUAGGAAUCAGCUUAAUAAAACUGUUGAAGACUCGAAAAAUUAGGCUGUGAUCUCUCCACAAAUGGGAAAGCAGCUUGUAGCUUUUUUGGCAGCCAUGGAGAUUAUGGCUGAGCAGUUUCCAGGGGCCUUCUAUGGUUACAAACUGCAGGUCUUGGAGUCUCAUCAAGCAAGCAAGCUAGACACAUCUGGAACUGUCAAAGUUGUCAUUUCCUGCUUUGAGAAACUUGGUGUCCUUUUAUAUAGAUGAGAUUCAAAUGAUUCGGGAUCCAAAGCAGCAAAUCGAGAUGGUUGAGGUUCCAGUGGAGCAUCUAUUGGGUCAUGCUUUUCAUAUGUAUCACUGACAUCGCCUGAUGCUGUAAUUUUUCUGGCUAAAAACUAAAAUGGUUCGGGCUAAGGCUGACAAACGAAUCUACAACAUGAUUGAAGUCUUGAGGGAGGGUAACAUGAGAUGAUAAUUGGGUUUAGGUUAUUGUCCUUAUUGAUCCAUUUUUGUGUAUAAAUAGAUUUCAUCCCACCCUGUUUGAUAAUAUGUUUGUUUCAUUCAGGCUAAGAAACAUUUUAUCAUA